rnacentral:rRNA from 1 species
AGAGUUUGAUCGUGGCUCAGGGUUAACGCUGGCGGUGUGCAUUAGGCAUGCAAGUCGAACGCUCUGACGCAAGUCGGAGAGUGGCGAACGGGUGAGUAACGCGUACGAACUUACCCCCAAGAGGAAAAUAGCCCGGCGAAAGCUGGGGUAAUGGUCCAUGGUCCCCCGAGCAAUCGGGGGUAAAGGGUGUAACGACCCGCUUAGGGAGAGGCGUGCGUCCCAACAGCUUGUUGGUAGGGUAACGGCCUACCAAGGCUAUGACGGGUACCGGCUCUGAGAGGAGGGUCCGGCACAAUGGGACUGAGAUACGGCCCAUACUCCUACGGGAGGCAGCAGCUAGGAAUCUUGCGCAAUGGACGAAAGUCUGACGCAGCGACACCGCGUGUGGGAUGAAGGCCUUAGGGUCGUAAACCACUUUUGUCCCCGAACAUUCGGGGAAGAAAAAGCAACUACUAACUACGUGCCAGCAGUCGCGGUAAUGCGUAGGUUGCAAGCGUUACCCGGUUUACUGGGUGUAAAGGGUCCGUAGGCGGUUUUUUAAGUCUUGUUUCAAAGUCCCCGGCCUAACCGGGGAAAGGGGCAGGAUACUGGAGAACUAGAGAUAAAUCGGGGCUACUGGAAUUGGUAGUGUAGGAGUGAAAUCCGUGGAUACUACCAAGAACACCGAGAGCGAAGGCAGGUAGCUAGGUUUAUUCUGACGCUCAAGGACGAAAGCUAGGGGAGCAAACUGGAUUAGAGACCCAGGUAGUCCUAGCUGUAAACGAUGCCUGUUAGCUUCUUGGCCUUAGUGGCUGGGAGGCGUAAGCUAACGCGUUAAACAGGUCACCUGGGGAGUAUAUCCGCAAGGAUGAAACUCAAACGAAUUGGCGGGGAGGCGCACAACCAGUGGAGCAUGUGGUUCAAUUCGAUACGAAGCGAUAGACCUUACCUGGAUUUGACAUUUCGCUGCACGCCCCGAGAAAUCGGGGAAGCCUUAGAGGGUGCGAAACAGCUGCUGCAUGGCUGUCGUAAGCUCGUGGCGUGAGCUGUUCCCUUAAGUGGGGUAACGAGCGCAACCCUCGCUCCGUGUUAUUUUGUCACGGAGGACUGCCUUGCAUAAGUUUGUAGGGAGGAAGGAGAGGAUGACGUCAAGUCAGCAUGGCGCUUAUGUCCAGGGCCACUCACAUCCUACAAUGAGGCCGACAACGGGUCGCGAAGCCGUAAGGUGGAGCUAAUCCUUUAAACGGCCUCUCAGUGGGGAUUGCGGGCUGCAACUCGCCCGCAUGAACUCGGAAUUGGUAGUAAUCGCAGAUCAGCAGGCUGCGGUGAAUACGUUCUCGCCUCUUGCACACACUGCCCAUCAAGUCAGCAAAGUUGGGUACACGAAGUCUCUCCGAAUUUCGGAGGGCCUAAUGUAAAUUCAGCGAUGAGGGCUAAGUUGUAACAAGGUA